CUAACGGUGUCUUUAGACACCACCUUUUAUCUUAGAAUUCUUUGU
rfam:Picea glauca, whole genome shotgun sequence.